AGCCCAAAGUGGGUGGUAAACUCCAUCCAAGGGUAAAUACAAGCACGAGUCCGAUAGCGAACAAGUACCGUGAGGGAAAGUUGAAAAGUACUUUGAAGAGAGAGUAAACAGUACGUGAAACCGCAUGCAGGUAAACGGGUGGCGUCAAGCUGCAAGCCCAGAGGAUUCAGCUGGCUAGGAUGUUGUGUAUGCGCUUGCGCAUCUAUCAGUCAGAAUAAGAUGUGAUAGUCCACUGGUAAACGGUGGGCCCGGCCGCAAGGUUGGGAUAUGUGUACCGGGCGGAAGCCGGAGCAUGCUAUUCGUCUGUUGGGCUGUCUAGUCAGUGCACUUUCUCUGUGGUGAACACCACGACCGGUGGAAUUGCCAGUCUGCUGUAGUCAAGUCGUAUUCAGUCGGUUCUUGUAGCCAACUGGGUGCGAUCACAGGCAAACUCAGUAAACGGCGUAGGGGUGUUUCGGCAUCCUUGCGUGUUAUCGGCUGCUGGUUGUCAACGGGCCUGCCUGAUGAUUGUUGUAACCGUCAUUGGGUGGUCUGGUGGACUAUGGUGGUAAGAAUAACUGUGCAAGGCAUCGGAGUUCUCGGCCUCAAAUGCAUCCUGCAUACACGUUACAAGUGGAGUGGGGUGCCAUUGCAGCCUGCCUGUUGUUGGGUCUGAUUGUCGUGUCGCCUGCGCAAAGUGGGCCCGGCAGUGGCCUGAUGCGGGAUGGGUUGUGGAUGGUGCUUCCUGUGUAGGGUGCGGUGGGUCAAAUAGUCAGUGGUGUAGUGGUAGACGAGCUACCC
rnacentral:rRNA from 2 species